rnacentral:rRNA from 1 species
ACGAACCGUGCGAACGUUGUUCGGAAUCACUGGGCUUAAAGGGCGCGUAGGCGGGCGGCCAAGUCGGGGGUGAAAUCUUUCAGCUUAACUGGAAAAUAGCCUUCGAUACUGGUUGUCUAGAGGGAGGUAGGGGCAGCCGGAAUUUCCGGUGUAGCGGUGAAAUGCGUAGAUAUCGGAAGGAACAUCAGUGGCGAAAGCGACUUCCUGGACCAGUACCGACGUUCAGGCACGAAAGCGUGGGGAGCAAACAGGA